rnacentral:tRNA from 1 species
CCCUAGGUAGCUUAAAAUAAAGCUUCAGCCUCUUGAUCUGAAGAUGGGCGACAAAUUAACCCCCUAAGGA